rnacentral:lncRNA from 1 species
CCCUCAACCUACUCCAGAUCAAAUCUAUCUUCAUCAAGCUUUGAAGACUAUUUAUCCAACGUGGGAGCUUUUCUAAUCGGGCCCUCAAGAUUAGCCCACGAAGGAACUGAAGAGAAGAAGAAGGUAGAGCGUGAUCGAUGUCAAUCACUUCAUCUUUGGUAAUUGCUGUUACAUUCAAUUCGCGAAGAUUGAUCAGCUUCUGAAGGGAGGAACAGAGCUCUUCUCCAUCUUGUCUCCUAAGCUUGGUAAUCCCCAACUCUCUUAAUUGGAUGAGCUUUCCUAUUUCUUCUACUACUGUUUUUUCAUCAUUCUGUGCAUCUAUGAAUAGUAAUGUGUGCAAGGAAAGCAGUUCUCCAAUUUUAGACGGAGCUUUAAAACCAUAACACUCGUAAUUGGCAUCUGAAGAAUCAACUACUUGGAAUACCCUGAGAUGUCGAAGUUUCUUUAGCUUCAGCACUUGUAUAGGUAAUUCCCUCACAUUAGUCUGACCCAAAUGCAAAUGUUCUAGAUUUUUAAGCUUUUUGAUGGAUUUAGGGACUUUUUUAACUCUCGUCCCUCUUAGGCACAAAAACCUGAGAUGAAAUAACUUGAAAACCUCAUUUGGGAUCUCCUCUAAUUGCACAUCUCUGAGAUCAAGUAGCUUUAGUAGCUUACUCAAUAAAAGCUCAGAUAACAAGGUUGGCUCUGUGUUUGUUAGUGUAAUCAAGGAUCGGAGAUGCUUCAAAUAAUUGCUUCUUUGGGUGAGGGAAUUAUUGAUUACCAGACGAUGUACCUUCUCACUCGGGCCCCUUGUGUGUUGUAAACUGGCUAGGGUGAUCAUGUUCUGUUCCUGAGACUUGCGAAGAAUGAAUUCUCGCAUUAGGUCAUGGAUACGACAAUGGUCGGGUGAUCCAUCCCAGGAUACCUCAGUUACUCGGACUAAGCUCCUCCUUAUUAGUUCUUUGAGAUAAUCAAAGGCUACUUCCUCAGCUGUCAUUCCUCCUCUGUCUUGUACAAAUCUUUCAGCAAUCCAUAAUUGAAUGAGCCGAUGGCAUUGUAUUUCAUAAUCCUCGGGGAAAAUACUUAUAUACAGUAGACAGGUCUUAAGAUGGGAAGGUAAAUCCUUGUAGCUAAGAAGAAGUAUCUUUUUAACCAUAUCCUGCUCACCUGUCUUUUCUUCUUCACCUGCCAGACUAUCUCGAACAAUCUCCCAUUGGUCUGCUUUGUCUUUAUCUUUGUCUUUUGAAGCCAAUACCCCACCAAUUGCAGCAAUGGCAAGGGGCAAGCCCCGACAUUUACUCAAUAUGUCAUGUACAAUAGCCUUCAGAUGCAUAGGGCAGUAGCUUUGUUGAAAUGUCUUGUCACAGAAUAGAGUCCAAGAGUCUUCAAAAGACAAAGGCUUCAUUUCGUAGACAUAUCCUUGAGAUUCUGGGGAAGAGGCUUGGGCUACAUGAGGUAGUUGUGUCGUGAUCAUUACACGACUACCGUUACCACUAUCAGGAAGUGCAGAUUUGAUUGAAUUCCAGAUACCCAUGUCACAUACAUCUUCAAAGACAAUUCCAUACCUUUUCCCCAGGAGCAAUUUUGUGACAGAAGAUUUCAGCUCGGUUAUGGAUUCAACUGCAUAAUUAAUUGGCCUCUUGAUUUGGUCGACAAUUUGUCGAAUCAAAUCUUGAAGGAGCUCCUUAAUGCUACGUGUACGUGUUUGGGAGACAGUAAUCCAAGCAGUGAUUUGGAACUGUUUUUGUACAUCGCCAUCUUCAUGGACUUUUUUAACUAGGGUUGUUUUCCCUAGCCCUUGCAUGCCAAGCACUGAAAUAACCUUGAGAUUGGAAUCACCAUCAAGGAGCUGAGAAAUGAGUUCCUGUUUGGGCUUUUGGAUGCCUACCAGCCUUUCCUUUCCCACAAGAAUUGCAUCAUCCCACCAGGUGUUGGCAAUAGUGGCAGAUCCCAGAAAGUGCUGGUGGGUACCAUGGUCAAGUCGGUAUCUCUGGCGCAGUUCAGAAAUAUUUCCGAGUCUGGACUUUAUUCUCUGAAUUUCGCCGGCAAUCUUGUGACGAGCUUGCAAGUUUUUUAUGCUGUUGAAACAGCGAGAGAAUCGACUUGCAUGAUGGUGAGCCGUGAGAACCGCAAACUCGUCUAGAACAUCUUCAAUGUCAUAAGUAACUUCCCUCACUUGUUUCAUCCAUGCUUGAAUCGCAUGAUCAUCAUCUUCUUUAGCUUCUGCAACUUUUAGGAAAGCUCUCAUGUGCUCCAACUCAUCGAUGAUAUGCUCGACUUCUUGUUUAAGACCUCCCAAUAGAUUUCCUUCUUCAAGGAGAGUGGUUGAGAGCUGAUUUAACGCCAGGGAUAAAAUUGUCUCCGCCAUUUUUGUCCUAUCUUUUUUCCUUCCUCUGUAUAAGCUACUUUGGACGGAUUUUUGAUAAUUCUAGUAGAAGAAUCAUUUCUAAUUUAUGAAGGUUGAUAGUAAUCAAUGAACUAGGGAAGACCAUGUCUUGAUAGAAUAUUAAACAUUUAGGUAUGUCCAAAGCAAUGUAUCUGAAUAAUAAACGUUUCUUUCCAAAGCAAUGUAUCUCUGGCACAUAUUCCCAUGACCAUGAGAAGAAUAUAUGAGCCUCAAGGCAAUGGAUAGGAGCUAAAGGGAAUGAUCUCUGUUGGGGAAAGGAAGGAAUAAACUCAUAAAAGAUCAUUGCUUGCUGGAGAAUUAAACUACCUAUCUACAUGGUCUUUUCACCCGUUCUGCGGACACAUAACCUUGCUUCUCCAUACGUAACUUCAUGUUUUGAUCCUUGUACUAUUUUUUUUUAAUUUACAUUUUUGGGUUUCCUGGAUAAAAUAGCACUACUUAUCAUAAACACGGGCGAAAUUUUAGAGCAACUUCAGAAACAUGUGUUAAAGUGGAGCUCAAGACUCCCAGAUAAUGAGAAUCUACGUUAGUAAAAGAACCAUCACACCCAUUUACAAUUUCUUUUUUAAUAUUUCAGUGAAAUUUAAAUACUCCAUUAGUUAGCCCUUACAUUACUCAAUAUUCAAUAUUCCAUUAGUCAGUGAAAUAUUCAAUAUUCGCUAUAUUUACUAGACAAGCCAUUAUUAAUGCAGGUUUGUACAAGCAGAGUGAGGACAAAUUGGGUUUACGUAUUAUCUCUCACCAAACUUUAAAAGUUAUUAUUUGGAGCUUUUAAUGAAAAUUUUCUGGUAGAUAUUAUUAACACACUUCUAACCUGCCUACCUCUUGAUUGUUUGCUAAAUCAAAUAUAGAAAAGAUCAAGAAACAAAAGGAUAAAGAGUAAUAUACAGUACAUUAACAACAUCAUGUAUUUUACACUAUACAUACGAUAAAUAAGAAGGUAAGACACAGAAGAUGAUGAACUUCUCUCAUGGAUGUCGAAGGGAAGAAAAAUUACUAAUAAAAAAUAAAAACGAAAGAAGAGGGUGCAAACUACUGAAAGGGAAGCCACAAGCUAGGAAAGAUUAUAUUUUCUUCUUCUUCGCCCACAGCCAGCGGUGUCUCCAUUUCCUAUCAUCUGUAUAGUAACCAAUGAGAAUUUCAGGAAUGUGUGCGAUUCUUCUGUAAUCUUCACUGUCUUCCUUCUGAUUCUCUAACAGCUUCUCUCUCAAUUGAGAACUCAUCUCAUACAAAUUCAGCCGUUGAAGCUGGAUCAAAUGCUGAAUACCCAUAGGCAACUCCUCUAGUGAUGGAAGUUGUUGCAGGAAUAGUUUUUGGAGAUGAGGCAAUGCACCCUCCUCCACUCUCAUCCAUCUCAACCCUUCCAUUCUCUUUAAGUGCAACUGCUUCAGCUUUAGGAAUCCUCCAGCCUUGAAGCACAACCCUUCUCCCUGGUAAGAUCCACAGAAGUUAAUUUCACCCAAAUUGGGGAAAUGUUGGAGGGAUUCAAGUGGAUCCUCCUCACCCCUUAACCUGCUCCAAUCCAAAUCUAUUCUUACCAAGUUGUGAAGAUGAGCUACCCAUUGUGGCAUCUUUUCUAAGCGGCCACACAAAAUCAGCAUACGAAGAGAUUGAGGAAACGAACUAGAUGAUGAAGAAAGAGGAGGAGGAUGAUGAUUUAGAUCGAUUAUCUCAUGAUCAUCACCUUUUGCAAUUGAAGCAACUCUUAAUACCUGAAGACUGGUGAGGUUGGCAAGGGAGGAGCAGAGCUCCUUUCCAUCCUCUCUUCUUAACUUUGUAAUACCUAAUUCUCUUAAUUGGGUCAACUUUCCUAUCUCCUUAACUAUUGCAGAUCCACUACUUACAUCUAUGCAGUUUAAUAUUUCUAGGGCAAGAAGCCCUCCCAUAUUCGAUGGAGCUUUAAAUCCGUGAUGUCCAUAAUCAUCAUGUGAAGCAUCAACUCGUUGAUGUACUUUGAGAACCCGAAGUUUUUGCAGCUUUAGGAUUUCCAUAGGUAAUUCCCUAACUCCAGUGUUUCCCAAAUUCAGAUACUCCAAAUGUUGAAGCUUCCCAAUGGCUUUUGGGACUCUCUCCACUCUUGUACCACAUAGGUCCAGAUGCUUGAGAUGAAACAAGUUGAAAAUCUCAUUUGGAACUUCCUCCGGUGUCUCUUGACCAGUUAAAUCCAAAACCUUUAAUAACUUACUACUCUCUAAAACUUUAGAUAACAACAUUCUAGACAGUAAUGGGUUCGUGGAUCCAACUGUAACAAAUGACCGAAGGUGGUCAAAGCAACAAUUUUGUGUUUGUUGGUGGUGCUGGGUGUUGUUACUGCAACUAGUAUGGACUAUUAGACGGCGUACCUUCUCGGAUGGCCACCUUGUUGGUUGUCCAGUAGUAAUUGUGACCAUGUUUUGUUCUCUUGACUUGGAAAUGAUAAUUUCUCGCAAUAGGUCAUGGAUUCGACAAUAUCCGGGCAUUCCUUCGUAAAACACACCAGUCACUUGAAUUAAGCUUCUAUUGACGAGUUCACUAAAAUAACCCCAAGCUAUAUCUUCAAUACUCAUUCCUUCUCUCCAUUCUACAAACCUUUCAGCAAUCCAUAAGUUAACAAGUCUUAGGCACCCUAUUUUGUAAUCCUCAGGAUAAAUGCUUGUGUACAACAGACAUAUCUUGAGAUGCCAAGGCAGGUCGCUAUAACUGAGAGAAAGUAUCCUUUUAACUCUGUCUAGCUUACCAGUGCCUUCUAAUUCAACCCCAAGACUGCGUCUAACCAUCUCCCAUUCCUCUAUUCUGUUUACAUCUUUCAAAGCCAAAAGCCCACUGAUUGCAAGGAUUGCAAGGGGCAAGCCCUCACAUUUGUCCAAUAUAAUUUUGGCAACAUCCAUCAAAUGGCCAGGGCAACUAUUUCCCUUAAAGAUCUUGUUGCAAAACAGGGUCCACGAAUCUUCCAAGGACAGUGGCUCCAUUCUGUAGAUAUAACCUAGAGAUUCUGUACAAGAGGCAGAGGCUACAUCAGCUUUUCGAGUUGUUAACAUGAUACGGUUGCCGUGGCUACUCUCAGGCAGUGCGAAUUUGAUUGUAUUCCAAAAUUCCACAUCCCAUACAUCAUCAAAAACAAUUGCAUACCUUCCAGCUUGUUGAAGAAAAUCUUUGACAAUUUUUUUCAGCUCAGUGGUAGUCAUAGACUCUAUCGAUUGUGGGACUGGUUUCUUCCCUUCCUUGUGUAACUGCUGAAUCAAGUCUUUCAGGAGAUCCUGAAAGUCGCAUGUUUGAGAGACAGUUACCCAAGCACGAACUGGGAAAUGCCUUCUAACUUCAGGAUCCUCGUGGACUUUUUUCACUAGGGUAGUUUUGCCAAGUCCUCCCAUACCAACCACUGAAACAACUUUUAGUUGGUAAUCAUCCCUUUUGAGGAGCUGAGAAAUUAGAUGUUUCUUUGGAUGGUCAACGCCAACUAAUUUAGCUUCUUCCACAAGCAGUGCGUCAUCUCUGCUAUAGCGCCAUGUUGUGUUGUUCACAGCAGAAAGUGAGCUGGACCCUUGGGCAGAGAUACCAUAUUCGGAUUGGUAUCUUUGAUGACCUUCAGAAAUACUUUUGAUUCUGGACUUGAGGCUUUGUAUUUCGCUAGCAACUCGAUGACGAGCUCUCAAAUUCUUGAUGGAGCUGAAAAUUCUCUGAACAGAGCCGUAGAAUCCUGUUGUGCGAUGCCGAGCAAAGCGAGCUACAAAUUCAUCAAGAAUGUCUUCAGUGUCAUAAGCAGCAUCUCGCACUUGCUUGAUCCAUUCUUGGAGCCUGGGUUGAGCAUCUUCUUCUUUUGCUUCUGCCUCUCUCAGGAAAGCUCUCAUGUGCCCCAACUCAUCCCUGAUGAAUUGGACCUCUUGCCGAAGCCCACCCAACAGUCGUCCCUCCUCGCGCAGAAAAGUUGAGAGUUGAUCCAGCACAAAAGAGAGAACUGUUUCUGCCAUGUUCAGUCUUUCUUUCUAACUUAAGAAUGUUGGGGAAGGCGGCUUCUGGUUUAUAGGACAGUCUACUUGGUAGUGUCUUGAAAGGAAGACGGAAGAGGAGGUCAUAUAGAUUCAUAAGCUGAUGAACUUCGAUGCUAUAUGGUGCGGUAUUUAUCAAAAAGAAAAACCGCGUCAAACAGAAAAAGAAAGAAUUAACCAAUUAGAAGAAGCUGAAGCAAGAAACAUGAUUGUGAAAGACGAAGCUGCCUUACCUGCCAUAAUAUAAAAUCAUGGAAGCUAUUAAGAAGGCUCUGUUUGCACUUCGGGACCUUCUUUCAACUGUGGGUCCUUUGGUGGGAUCAAGAUAAAGGAGCAUCUUUCAACUGUGGGUUCUUUACGAGGGGAAGGACGUUAUUGAUUUCAUUGACGAAGAAAUAAAACUACUACAAAGUCUGUCCUAUAUGGAACUAAUUUCUGCUGACCAAUUAGUAUUUGUAAUAGCAAAGAAACCUUUGGAGCAAACCAAUCCAAUACGGUGUCUGACCAAAAUGUGAACUAUAUUGAUUCAAGAGGUCUAUGAACAGCAUGCAAAUUUAGCUAAAAAAGUAAUAGCAGAAAAUGAUAAGGAGUGCAUUAAAAAGAAUCAAAUUUCUUUGUAAUUACGAAAUUCGUUGGAAUUGUUGUACCACUCAAUCAUGUCGUGGCUUAUUUCUAUGUCCAGCAUAAGACAAUUGAUGUAAGCCCAAAUCCGAUUUCCACCAUCCUAUCAUAUCUAAUUAGUCUGUCAGUUAAUUGUAAUGUCAAAAAAAUUAGAAACACUUGACAAAGUCAAAUCUAUAAUUAUCUACGUCUAGAGGUUCAAUUUUUUCUUUUUUUUUUGGGCUAGAUUAUAUUCACCUUUAAAUCGUUGAAUUAAAUUUUCAACGCACCAAGGUUUUCCCAAAUCGCUUCAUACAAGAUCAUGAUUUUUGUUCUGAUUUCCCAUAUCAUCUCAGCAUUUGGUAUUAUGGGGUCUUGCUUUUUACCUCAUUGUAAUGAUAUAUGUGGAACUAAAUGGGAGUUUAGUUAGCGGAAGCCGGAGCUUACAAAUGAAUCUGUCCUUUUGCAGUUUUACCUGUGCGAGAAUAAUUAAUAUGUGGGAAAAUCUGGCUACAUAUCUGCAAGGACUAAAUAAAUAUUGACUAUAAUUAACGAGUAUGUAUCCUUAUAAAAAAAUAUAGGGAUAUUGUUAUGAAAAAGAGAAAUUUGAAACUUAUAUAUGGUUAGAUUUGUUUUUCCUGAAUUUAAUGAGUUAUAGGCUAAAAAAGUUGUUGUACUUCAAAUUUUUUUUUUUUUCAAAUCCUAGUAUGAAGCUGCUACCGGAGUUAAUGAAUUGAAAUUCACUAGUAAAAUCAACUAUCUUAGAGCCAUAAUAUGAACUUUUUUUUUUAGUCCAAGCGGGAAUACCAUCCAACCCAUCCCUCCCCGAGCCAUAGUAUGAACUCAAAUGUGAUAAGGUGCAUUAUAUGAGCUACUUGAAUACUGUACGCUGAAAAAGCCGCUUUGAAACAAAAGAAGAAGCAGAAGGCACAAAAUUUUCCUAUGGUUCCUAGAAAUAGCAUAAGAAAGAAGAUAGAAAGAUAUUGUUGACAUUAUAAAUUCCUGUCAAUUAAUGUUCGUCAUUUCUAUAUGGUAACUUACUACAAAAAAAUUGUCAAAAUUGUGUGAGAAAGUUAAGGACGAAAUACGAGGAAAAUUCUUACUCAACAAGAAACUGCAGCAAAAAAAAAAAAAAAAAAAUUGGAGUAGAGCCAUUAUGGUCAAUCAAAAAGAAGAAGAAAGAAGUAACCAAUUACAAGAAACUAAGGCAAGAGAGACGAUGGAAAUUGAAUGGAAAGAAGAUAGACAGCAACGUGAUUUUGAAAGGCGAAGCUGAACUACGAAAUCAUGGAAAUUAUUAGGGAGACAGUGCAGUUGGUGGGGCGUUUACUGCAGGACCUUUCGACUGUGGUUCUUCGAUCAAAUGAAGUAGUGGCUACCAGUGUACCACACCAUCGUUCAAAAGCAAUGAUGUCUUAAACUUAAAACGUGGUGGCUAGGACAUUGAUUUCAUUGACGUAGAAUUAAAGGGAAAAUACAGAUUUAGUCUCUAAUAUUUGGCCUUUAUGCAGUUUUAGUCAUUAAAAUUUUGAAAAAUGCAAACUUGAUUCUCAAUGUUUAGCACGUGUGUAAUUUUAGUCCCUAAAAUAUUGGUAGGAACAAAUUUGGUCCCCCAUGUUAUCAUUUUGAAGCAAAAUUUAGGAUGAUUGACGUAGAAUCUGUUACGUGUGAUUACAUGCUUGUUAAUUUUAAAUAUCUUAAAAAAGAAGUAAAAUAGCGAGUACCCUUCAAUAAUAAGACCAAUUUACAUGAUGCCAUGCUGGUAACUAAUUAAUCAAGAGAAAAAAAUGAAAGAAAAUUUGUUAAUCUAUAUGAAAAAGUAAAUGUUACGAUUUUGUGCUUGGCAUAGUCAGGAUAGAGUGUAAAAGUGAGUUCUAUAUCGAUGAAUUGGGUGCUUCAACUGAUUUUGGUUUAAAAAUUUUUAAUUUUUACUAGUUAAUUAGUUAGCAUACGAAUUAUUAGUUCUUAAUUUUGUUGUUUAAAGUUAGCUACUAUUUUGCUUCUUUGUUUUGAAAUGUAAUUUAAUGGACACAUAAUUAGACAUGAUUAAAUUAUGUUAGUAAUUGAAAAUAAUUCUUCAAAUGUCCUAAAUCUAUUUUUAAAAUGGAUAUAUUAGGGACCAGAUUUGCUCUCGCAAAAAUUUUAGGGACCAAAACUACACAUUUAUGUUAUUACUUAUAUUAUUAAAUAUAAAGAAUUGGAUUAUAACUAAAUUAUUAUAUUGUGUAUAUAUAUGUAUUAUAUAUACAUCUAUAAAUUUAAAAAUAUAUAUAUAAUUUUUUUUCGUGUGCGGGGGAUGAGGCGGGUGUAUGUUGCCUUGCCUCAGCCCCGUUUUAAGGUAGGGGAAAAUUUUCUCCCCCUGUCCCGUCCCAUCCCCCGCCCUCUUUUUAUUCUUGCGGGCACCUGCCAUUGUUGUCAUCCUUAGUUUUAAGUAUCCUUAUAUUAGGGUAAAUUAAACGUAAUCUUCUAUGGUUUCACUCAUUGUCAUAUAACCGCCAUAACAUUACAAAAUAUCUAUUUCAUUCCCUUAGGUUCAGUGUAAACUUUACAAAAAAUAACCUCUCUAACAUCACUAUUUCAAAUACUAAUAAUGUCCUUAUUUAAAUGAUAAAGUGAAUAAAUGUUUAACCACCUUGGAUAAAAUCGCAAGGAAAUUAUGUGGAUAAAUGUAAAAAAUACAAUGAGGUAAAAUGCGUAUUUAUUUAAAUCAUAGAGGGUUAAUUGGAUUUUAUGAUUCCAUCACACAAGUUUUUGGGAGCGCAUUUAGUUGAAACACCUAACCAAUGGUGCAUUCCUUCCAUUUUCUACUUUACAUAAAAUUACAUGAAGGUUAUAUAACUAUUAUGAAACUUUAGAGGUGUUAUGUGGCAUUGAAGAAAAUUAUAGGGGGAUUAUAUGUAAUUUAUUCUUUUUUACAUGAAUUGCUUUUUCGACAAAAUGAUAUAGAACUUUGGGGGGGGGGGGGGUGGUCAAAUGACGUUGUAAUCAAUAGAGAGAAAUUUGAGAAGAAAUAUGAGGGUCCAAAUGUUAUGUAUUAGAAACUAGCUUCCUGAAUUUCAAAAAUGAAAGUUAAUUAGAGAUCCUCUCUUCAUAUUCUUUAUAUAUAUAUAUAUAUAUAUUUUAACUCAAUAGAACUUAAAAUUUGCUAGCGCCAUACGUUGAUCAGACAAAUUGCAAAACCAAUCAUUCUUGAUUGCCCACAUGUUGCUAAACCUUAUCUUCAGCAUUCGUUCUCGAUUGCCUGCCUAAUUUACCUAAAAUUUGUCACCUUUAGAAGUGAAAUUCUAGUUUAUUAGUUUGAUUUUAACCUUUUACUAUUGACCAUUACUUUUAUUGAAAAAACUAAUAAUGAAAUUUUAACCUAAAUCAUGAGGAAGUCAUAUAUAGGUUUUUUUUUUUAACCAUAUGAGAGUUAUUUGAUAAAGUACCAAAUCACAGGGGAUAAAAUGUAAUUUACUUAACUUAAUAUUAGCUAGCCCUUGCAAUGGUAAAGCAAAUGGAUAUGUGAUCAACGUAUCCAACAUUCGCAUGAUAAAGAGUCGCAUAAUAAACUUGGUGUAUACCCAACAUUCGCUACAUUUACCAGACAAACCAUAUUAAUUGGAUUUACAUAUACAAGCAGACAUCAGGAUAAAUUGGGUUUACAUAUUAUCUCUGACCAAAAUUUUAAAAUUGAUCGUUUGCUGAAUAAAGAUUAAGACACAAAAAGAUAGAGAGUUAUACUAUACAUCAAGCAUUAUACACAAUACAUACAAUAAAUAAGAAGGUAGGACACAGAAGAUGAUGAACCUCUCUUACGGUCGAAGGGGAAAAAAUUUACUAAUAAAAAAUAAAAAACAAAAGCAGUGUUGUCCACAACAAGGAGGGUGCAAACCAGAGAAAGGGGAGCCACGGCGGCUGCUGCUGCUGCUAGGAAUGAUUAUGUUUUCUUCUUCUCCCAUAGCUGGCGCACUGUCCAUUCUCCAUCAUCUGUAUAGCAACCAAUGACAAUUUCAGGAAUGCGUGCAAUUCUUGUGUAAUCUUCACUUUCUUCCUUCUGAUUCUCUACCUUUUCUAUCAUUUCAGAACUCAUCUCAUACAAAGACAGCUCUUGAAGAUGGCUCAAGUGCUGAAUACCCAAAGGUAACUCAUCUAGUAAUGGAAGUUGUUCCAGAAUGAGUUCAUGGAGACGUGGUAAUGCACCCUCCUCCACUCUCAUCCAUCUCAACCCUUCCAUUCUCUUUAAGUGCAUCCACUUCAGAUUUAGGAACCCUCCAGCCUUGAAACACAACCCUUCUCCCUGGUAAGAUCCGCAGAAAUUAAUUCUACCCAAAUUGGGCAAAUGUUGGAGGGAUUCAAGCGGAUCCUCCUCGACCCUUAACCUACUCCAAUUCAUAUCUAUUCUUACCAAGCCGUGAAGAUGAGCUACCCAUUGUGGCAUCUUUUCUAAGGGGCCGUACAUAAUCAGCAGACGAAGAGAUUGAAGAAACGAAGAAGAAGAAGAAAGAGAAGGGUGAUUUAGAUCGAUUAUCUCAUGAUCAUCAUCUUUACCAAUUGAAUCAACGCUUAAUUCCCGAAGACUGGUGAGAUUGGCAAGGGAGGAGCAGAGCUCUUUUCCAUCUUCUCUUCUUAACUUUGUAAUACCUAAUUCUCUUAAUUGGGUCAACUUUCCUAUCUCCUUGAUUAUUGUGGAUCCACUACUUGCAUCUAUGCUGUCUAAUACUUCUAAGGCAAGAAGCCCUCCCAUAUUUGAGGGAGCUUUAAAUCCAUGAUAUCCAUAAUCAUCAUCGGAAGAAUCAACUUGUUGAUAUACUCUGAGAACCCGAAGUUUUUGCAGCUUCAGGAUUUCCACAGGUAGUUCCCUAACUCUGGUGUUACCCAAAUCCAGAAACUCCAAAUGUUGAAGCUUUCCAAUGGCUUUCGGGACUCUCUCCACUCUUGUAUCGCAUAGGUCCAGAUGCUUGAGAUGAAACAUCUUGAAAAUCUCAUUUGGUAUUUCCUCUUGUGUCUCUUGACCAUCCAAAUCCAAAACCUUUAACAGCUUACUACUCCUUGAAAUUUCAGAUAACAACGUUUUGGAUAGUAGCGGGUCGGUGGAUCCAACUGUAACGAACGACCGAAGGUGGUCAAAGCAAUAAAUUCGUCUUUGGUGGUGGUGCUGGGUGUUGUUACUGCUACUACUACUAUGGACUGCUAGACGGCGUACCUUCUCGGACGGCCACGUCAUUGGUUGUCCAGUAGUGGCUGUGACCAUGUUUUGUUCCCUUGACUUGAGAAGAAUAACUUCUCUCAAUAGGUCAUGGAUUCGACAUCUUUGGGGUAUUCCUUCAUAAAACACCUUAGACACUUGAAUUAGACUUCUAUUGACGAGUUCACUGAGAUAAUUCCAGGCUACAUCUUCAAUACUCAUUCCUUCUCUCCCUUCUACAAACCUUUCAGCAAUCCACAAAUUAACUAGUCUAUAGCAGUCUAUUUUGUGAUCCUCUGGGUAGAUGCUUGUGUACAACAGACAUGCCUUUAGAUGCCAAGGCAAAUCAUUAUAACUAAGAAAAAGUAUCCUUUUAACUCUGUCUAACUUACCAGUGCCUUCUAAUUCACCCCCAAGACUGCGUCGAACCAUCUCCCAUUCCUCUGUUCUGUUUACAUCUUUCAAAGCCAAAAGCCCACUGAUUGCAAGAAUCGCAAGGGGCAAGCCCUCACAUUUACCCAGUAUAACUUUGGCAACAUCCAUCAAAUGGCCAGGGCAACUAUUUCCCUUAAAGAUCUUGUUACAAAACAGGAUCCACGAAUCUUCAAAGGACAGUGGCUCCAUUCUGUAGAUAUAACCUAGAGAUUCUGUACAAGAGGCAGAGGCUACAUCAGCUUUCCGAGUUGUUAGCAUGACACGGUUGCCGUGGCUACUCUCGGGCAGCGCAAACUUGAUGGUAUUCCAAAAUUCCACGUCCCAUACAUCAUCAAAAACAAUCGCAUACCUUUCAGCUUGUUGAAGAAAAUAUUUGAUAAUUUCUUUCAGCUCGGUGGUAGUCAUGGAGUCGAUCAAUUGUGGGACUGGUUUCUUCCCGUCCUUGUGUAACUGCAGAAUCAAGUCUUUCAGGAGGUACUGAAAGUCACAUGUUUGAGAGACAGUUACCCAAGCACGGACUGGGAAAUGCCUUCUGACUUCAGGAUCCUCAUGGACUUUUUUCACUAGGGUAGUUUUGCCAAGUCCUCCCAUACCAACCACUGAAACAACUUUUAGUUGGUAAUCAUCCCCUUGGAGGAGCUGAGAAAUUAGAUGUUUCUUGGGCUGGUCAAUGCCAACUAAUUUAGCUUCUUCCACAAGCAGCGCAUCAUCUCUGCUAUAGCGCCAUGUUGUGUUGUUCACAGCAGAAAGUGAGUUGGACGCUUGGGCAGAGAUACCAUAUUCAGAUUGGUAUCUUUGAUGAGCUUCGGAAAUACUUUUUAUUCUGGACUUGAUGCCUUGUAUUUCGCUAGCAACUCGAUGACGAGCUCUCAAAUUCUUGAUGGAGCUGAAAAUUCUCCGAACAGAGCCGUAGAAUCCUGUUGCGGGAUGCCGAGCAAAGCGAGCUACAAAUUCAUCAAGAAUGUCUUCAGUGUCAUAAGCAGCAUCUCGCACUUGCUUGAUCCAUUGUUGGAGAGUGGGUUGAGCAUCUUCUUCUUUUGCUUCUGCCUCUCGCAGGAAAGCUCUCAUUUGCUCCAACUCAUCCAUGAUGAAUUGAACCUCUUGCUGAAGCCCCCCCAAUAGUCGUCCCUCCUCGCGCAGAAAAGUUGAGAGUUGUCGCAGCACAAAAGAGAGAACUGUUUCUGCCAUUUUCAGUGUUUCUUUCUAACUUAAGAAUGUUGGGGAAGGCGGCUUCUGGUUUAUAGGACAGUCCACUUGCAGUGUCUUGAAAGGAAGAAAGAAGGGUAGGCUAUAGAUUCAUAAGCUGAUGAACUUUGAAACUAUAUGAUGCAGUAUAUAUCAAAAAGAAAAACCGCGUCAAAAAGAAAAAGAAAGAAUUAACAAAUUAGAAGAAACUAAAGCAAGAAACAUGAUGGAAAUUGAAGACAAGAAGAUAGGCAGCAACGUUAGUUUGAAAGACGAAGCUGCCUCUUACCUGCUUACUAUACAAAAUCAUGGAAGCUAUUAAGAAGACUGUGCAAAUGGUGGGGUGAUCAGCCUUCAGGACCUUCUUUCAACUGUGGGUCCUUUGGUCGGAUAAAGAUAAAAGGAGUGACUACCGCAGCAUCGUGCAAAAGCAAUGAUGUCGAAUUAUUUAACAAGGGAAGGAAUAAAGUUAAAACGCGGUUGGACUGGACAUUAUUUAUUUCAUUGACGAAGAAAUAAAACUACCACUGCAAAGUCUUUGCACCUCCUCCUCCUAUGGAACUAAUUUCUGCAUUUUUUUUAGCCCCUUGGACCAACUAGUAUUUUUGUAAUAAAAACGGAUGGAAUAUCAAAGAAACCUUGGGAACAAAUCUCUGACCAAAUUUUCGGUAUAGACAUGCAUGUGCGUUUAAGUAGUUAAAGAGGAAAGAGCACGAGAAUGAGAAUGAGAAUCUAUUUAAUGGUGUGCUUGAUAAAAUUGAAGUUUAAAAUCUGAAUUCAUUAAUUUAUUGAAUUGUUAAUCUAAUAUAUUUGAAUGCAUAUCACGUUCAGUGAUAAGUGAAUAGCAUAUCACUUAAUUUUGGGAGUAAAUUUUAUUUAAAAAUUCAGUAUCACUUAAUAUAUAUAUAUAUAUAUAUAUAUGUAUCUGUAUGUAUAUGUAUGUAUGUAUAUAUGUAGGUAGAUGAUAGACAUUUGCAUAGGCUUAUUUGGUACCUAAUCUAGAGCGAUAUCCGCAAAGCCAACGAGGCAACCGCAAAAUUAAAAAAAAAUAAAAAUAAAACGCCAAGUGAUCGUUAACCAUGGCAUUCCAAAAGAAAAGGAAAACAACAAAUUAAAGAGGAGAAUCAUCGAGGACAUUGAAAAUUAAAACCCAAUAAAUUAACUUUCUUAUGUUGAAAUAAUGAUCAAGUGAAAGGCAUCACAACUCCAAAACAUGAGUUCAAUGUUAUUUUUUGUUAAUAACAGCUCAUAUAAGUGUGAAACCUGUGGAAGAUAGAAGCAUAAAUCAGCAUAUCGACAAUGUUUUAAAAACCGGACCGUUAAUCGAACCGGUGAAGUGAAAGGGUCGAGGUUCAACCGAUCGGACCGGUUCAACCUCGGUUCAAUGAAUUUUUUAAAAAAUAAUUUAUAUAAAUAUAUAUGUGCACAAAAUAAGACAUGUAAUGGAUAAUUUAAUACUUUAUAUGAUGAAAAGUUUACUAUUUUUGAAUAACUUGGAUUUUUAAAAAUAAAUUUUUUAAAUUAUAAGUCAAAACAAAUAAAUUUCAUCUCAAUUUUAAUUAUAUCUACCAAAAAAAUCUUAAAUAUAAUCCAAAAAUAUCACAAUAUUUGAAAUUAUACAAAAUUCACGUCUAUGAGAAUUUAGACAUUGUGAACUUAAAUUUUAAUUUACAUUUUGGAAUUUAAAUUUACAAUUUAAAAAAGGAAGUUUGGAGUUCGAAAAAAAUCAAGAGAAUUGAAAAUAGAAAUGCAAAUUUGAUAAGAAACAAGAAAUGAGAUAAAAGUGAGUGGUUGUGGUAUUAAAUAAAUUGGGUUAAAGAAAAAUAAUUCUUUUUUAACUUUUUUAAAUUUAAUGGACAAAAACAAAAUUAAAAUAUGGAAGAAAACAUCAAUAAAUUAAAAAUAAAGAGGUUUGAUUAUAAAAUGAGUGGCAAAAGAAAAGAUGAUAGAGAGAGAGAGAGAGGGUGUGUGUGUGUGUGUGUGUGUGUGUGUUGAAGAUUAAAAAGAAAGAGUCAUGAAAAGAUGAUAUUUUGUAAAAAAAAUGGAACAAAAGAAAUAUGAGUGUUUGUUUUAUAUAAAUAAGUUAUCAAAAGAAACCAAUAAGAUGUGAUAGUGCAAUGGUUACUACAUUGGUCUUCUAAUACAAAGGUCUUGAGUUCGAAUCUUGAUAACUACAUUUUGCAAAAAAAAAAAAAAAAAAAAAAAAGGAAAACUCAAAAACCGGAAAUAACCGGUUCACAUCCGGUUCAGCGGUUUCGCGGUCCAACCGGUUUUUGACCGGUUUCUUGACAAGUCAAACCUGGCAUUGAACCGGACCGGAGCCAUGGCCGGUUCGCGGUUCAACCGGUCGAACCGGCCGGUCCGGUCCGGUUUUCAAAACACUGCUCAAAUAUCGAGAAGAAAAACUUAGGAUCCAUGAGCUACUAAUAACUUGGCCCAGGUAUUUUAAACCAGUAAUUUAACAGACUUCGAAAGUUUUAUUGAGCUGGAUAGGACGAAAGGCGGCUCUUUUUACCAAUUAGAAUCGUCCUAUGCAACAUACAUCAUCAAACAACAUAAAGAAAUUGUGUAUUUUAAUUCAUAAAAAUGUAGCCAACCACCACUGCCCUUACUAUUACUCUCGACCUUAUAUUUUCAGUUUUGUUGAAGAUGAGAUAAAAUUCAUUCUAUAUUUACCUCUUUUUAUUACUCUUGACCUUAUAUUUUCAACUUUACUAAAGAAGUAAAGAUAGGACAAAUUUAAUUCUAUAUUGCCUUUUUUGAUUAAAAAGGACCAGAUCAAAUAAUAAGCAACUCAAGUAAAAAAAUUUACUUAUGCUAUUCUAUUCUUCAAUCCUUUCAAAAUUAUUACCUUGUGAAAUAAUGCAAUUUUAUUUUUUUAAAGAUAAUUUGAUGGAUGGAUAAUUAUUACUUUUGGUUCUGUUAGUUAUUCAAAAAGGAGAAAAGAGGUAAACAAUAAUGUUUGAACUCGGAGGAAACUGGAAUGAUCUCCAGUUGUUCUCUUCGUUUGCUGUUCCUAGCUUUGAAGUGUACAGUUUUACUUGUAGGAAACUGGAAAGCUUUUCUUUUUUCUUUUUGUUUUUUCCCCUGGUUUUGUAGACAAAGUUGGAUGUGAAGAAAGAAGUGGGAAUGAAAAUAUUGGAGAUGGCUAAAUUAUUUUUUAAUGCUCAGCAUAAGGCAAUUAAGGUAAACCCUUAACCACGCAGCCAAAUCCGAUCACCACCAUCUUCUGAUGUCUAAUUUUUCUUUUAGUUUAUUAUUGUAAUGUGUAAAGAAAAAAAGUUAGAUAUACUCGACAAAGUCAAAUCAUAAUUUUGCGUUUCUUAUGUUUCUUCUUUCUUCUUUCUAAAAUGAAUGACUUUGGAUCACCAAUGUAAUCUUUCAUCUCAGUUCUUUUUCUCCAGCUGUGAAAUUAUUACAACUAAGACUAGAUUAGGAAUAAGGGACAAGAAGUGGCUCUUUUGACCAAUUAGAAUUAAAUUAUGCAUUAUACAUGGUCAAACAGCAUGAAGAAAAUUAUGCAUGCUAUAUAGUAUAUAUUAUACUCGACCUUUAAUUGCCAAUAAUAUUGAAGUUGGCAUAUGUUUCAUUCUAUAAUUUUCUCUUCAAUUUUUUCUUUUGAAGUUUGUCUUUUUUUUUCGUUGAUUAUAUUCACCUUUUAUCAUCGAAUUGAAUUUUCAACGUUCCGAGGUUUUCUCAAAUCGCUUCGUACAAGAUGCACGAUAUUUGUUCUGAUUUACCAUAUCGUCUUAGCAUGGGAUCUUACUGUUUACCUUAUUGUAAUGAUAAAUGGUUAAAAUGGAACCAGAUGGGAGCAUAGUUAGCGGAAGCCCGAGCUUGGAAUCUGUCCUUUUGCAGUUUUACUUGUGCAAGAAUAAUUAAUUUAUUGGAAAAUUUUGCUACAUAUCUGCAAGGACUAAACAAAUAUUGGCCAUAUAAGUUAGUGAGAAUGUAUCCUUGUAAAGCAGAUUUUUUAUAUAGGGAUAUUGUUAUGAAGAAGAGAAAUUUGAGACAUAUAUGUAGUUAGAUUUGUUGUUCCUGAAUUUAACGGGUCAUAGGCUAUAAAAGUAUUAGAGUUCGAUUUUUUUUCCCCAAAUCCUAAUACGAAGCCCCUACUUGAGCUAAUGAAUUGAAAUUCACUAUUAAAAUUGACUAUUGUAGAGUCAUAAUUUGGACUCAAGUGUGACAAGGUGCAUUACUCGAGCUACUUGAGUGCUGUAUUUUGGAAAAGCAAUUUCGAAAGCAAAAGAAGAAGCAAAGGCACAAAUUUUUCAUAGUGAUCAUAACACUAGUUCCUAGAAACAGCAUAAGAAAGGUGACAGAAACACAUUAUCGACAUUAUAAAAGUCUGUCAUUAUUUAUCAUUUUUAUAUAGUAACUUGCUAUAGAAGAAUUGUCAAAGCCGCGUGAGAAAAUUAAGAACGAAAUACGAGGAAAAUUCUUACUCGUCACAACGAAACUGCAGCCAAAAAAAAGAAAAAAAAAAUGGAGUGGAGCCAUUAAAGUCAGUCAAAGAGAAAAAGAAAGAUGUAACUAAUUAAUUACAAGAAACUAAAGCGAAGAUAGACAGCAACGGGAUUUUGAAAGGCGAAGCUACCUUACCCGCAGCACUACAAAAUCAUGGAAAUUAUUAAGGAGACUAUGCGCAGUUGGUGGGGCGUAUGCGUUCACUCUUCAGUCUUCAGGAGGCUACCAGCGUACAACACCAUCUUUCAAAACCAACGAUGUCUAAACCUAAAACCUGGUGGCCUGGACAAUGACUUCAUUGAUGAAUAAAUAAAAGGAAAAUGAGUUCUAUAUUGAUGAACUGGGCACUUCAACUAGUUUUAAUUUAAAAUUUUUACUAGUUAAUUAGUUAGCAUAUGAAUUAUUAGUUCUUAAUUUUGUUGUUUAAAGUUAACUACUAACUAUUUUGUUUCUUUGUUUUGAAAUGUAAUUUAAUCGACACAUAACUAGAUGUGACAAAGUUAUGUCAGUAAUUAGGGAAAAUUCUUCAUAUGUCCUAAAUCUGCUUUAAAAUGGAUACAUUGAGGAUCAGAUUUGCUCUUGCAAAAACUCUGGGAACAAAAACUAAACAUGGGAUAAAGAUUGACGACCAAAUUUGCUUUUACCAAAACUUUAAGGACUAAACCUUCACAUGAGAUAAAAAUUAGGUACCAAAAUUGCAUUUUUGCCAGAAAUAAAACUACUACACUCCUCUUGCCGACACGAACUGUCUUCAGUUUUUAGCUUUAUUCGUAUUGUUUUUGCCCCUUACACCGAUUAGUAUUUGUACUGGAAACGGAUGGAAUGUUAAGCAACCUUAGGAAGAAACAAAUUCCAGUACAAUAUCUGACCAAAUUUUCGGCAUGAACAUAAUGUGUGUUUAAGUAGAAAUGAGGAAAGAUCAUGAGAGAACAAGAAUCUACUACUGUCAAUAAAGAAAAACCCAACUCAAAAUGAAUUAUUCUAUCAAAGUUACAGGAGAGUAGGGGUGCAGCUAGGACUGCAAACGAGUCGAGUCGAGUCGAGUUUUGGACUAAUCGAGUCGAAUCUCAACUAGAUUUUACCGAGCUCGACGAGUCGGCAAUUUAAAGCUCGAGCUCGAAAAAAAAAAUAAUUAUUUUAUUUUUUAAAAAAUAAAUAAAAUAAUAUUUUUUCUUAAUAAAUAAUAAAAUAUUAAGGAUAUAUAUGUAAUUUUACUAUUAAAAUAAGAAAAUAAGAAAAUAUAUAUAUUUAAAAUAAAAAAAUAAAAAAUAUUAUAUUUAUAUACUUGAACUCGCGAGCCGAGCUUAAUAUUUUGAGCUCGAUUUCGACUCGAGCCAGCUCGAGCUCGACUCAAGCCGCUCGCGAGCGGCUCGAUUCGUUUGCAGCCCUAGGUGCAGUUGAGUUUUGAGCAUUUUGUGGGUUAAAGUUGGUUUUAAAUUUUUCUCCUUUCGCGUCAGUUGAAGAAUGGACGACUGAGAAAAGUGAGAUUUCAAUUUCUGUUAAACUCGGGCAGUCGGGGAUUGAUUAAAGAAGACAAUAGCAUUUAGACAUUAAUGUUGGUAGUGAUCACAAGAGAGUGUUGGUAGUGCUACUAUUGAUGGACUAAGCCAUGGGCGAGUUAAGAACAGAAAAUUAUACGUGAAAUUUUUAGAAAUCCACCUAGAAAUAUGUUGGCACAGCGUUUUUUUUUUUUCCACCUAAGCUUUUUACCACUUUUUACCUGGAAUCUCACUGGGAUUUAACUCACCCCAUUCCCUUUGUUUUCCUUAACAGAUCGGGAAAGGAUUUGAUCGAGGGCUUUCUUAGCUUUAUUUUACCGUUCUUGCGUUUUGAGGUUGUAACUUUCGUUUAAGCAGACUUGUAAGCUUAAAUUCUUAAGGGUGAUUUAUAUUAUGUAAUUUUGAGUGAAACAUGGUAAGUUGGCAUGCGAUGAUAUAUGUACUAAGUUGAAUUGUUGAAUUAGUGAUUAUGUUUGAGUUAGUGUUUCAAUCCCCUGCAUUGUCAAAUGUUACAUUCGUUUCAUUGAUGAUAUUAGUACUUUGAACGACUGAGUCCUGGCGAGAGUUGGGCAGGCAGUCCGCUGAUACCCUAGGGUUUGCCCUAGGGAAAGGUGGGGCUGUCACUCUCUCUCUCUCUCUGGGAAGAGAAGAUGUGAUUUUGAAAACCUAUGCUUUGGCGUACAAAAUCUUAAUUUUCUCCAAAUAUAAAAGAGAUGGAAGAAAAUAAAAAAUAAAUAAAUAAGAAACAAAAAGAAUGGAAGGGAAAUAUAAAAAGGGUAAAUGAGAAACAAAAAUUAUCAAAUCUUUUUUUACUACAAAUAUCAUUAUAGGUUUCUAAACCAAAUCUUUAAUGGCAUUUUCUAUUUCUUAUUUAUCUAUUUUUUUAUUUAAAUUUCUUCAAGUAAUGAAAAGAUAAAUUUGUCAAUUUAUUAGUUUGAUUUUGACCUUUUGCUAUUGAUCGUUAGUUUUAAUGAAAAAAAUUAAAGGUGACACUUUAACUCAAACCAUGAGGGGAUUAUAUAUAUGUUUUUAAACUAUAGAGAGAUUAUGUGAUAAAUUACCUAAUCAUAGGGGAUAAAAUGUAAUUUAUCAAACAUAAUAUUAGCUAGCCCUUACAUUGCUAAAGCAAAUGGGUCAAUGGUUGCUCUUGAUUGCCAACAUACAUAUGCGUAGAUCAUCUGCAGUUUGGUUCCUAAUUGCCAGCGUAAACCACAUAUUUUGAUUUUCCAAUAAAUACUGCAAAAAAAAAAAGAGUAACGAGUCCAUCUAUACUACUUGAAGAUAAUUGAUUGUUCACCCAGAUUCGUCAAGUUUUGAAAAAAAAAUCUUUAGAGUGAAUUGAAUCAAAUUCAAAUUUUGUGUUUUGUGAUAAUUCCUAAAAGAGAACGAAAUGCAGAUUUUGAGUGUAAAAAUAUUUUAAGAGGUGAUACAAUCAAGACACAAAAAGAUAAAAACAUCGAAGAUGAUGAAAAAAAUUACUAAUAAAAAAUAAAAACAAAAGAAGAGAAAGCCGUGUUGUCCACAAACUAGACAAAGGGAAGCCACAGCGGCUGCUGCUAGGAAAGAUUAUAUGUUUUCUUCUUCUCUGCCCACAGGUUGCGGUGUCUCCAUUUCCUAUCAUCUGUAUAGUAACCAAUGAGAAUUUCAGGAAUGUGUGCGAUUCUUCUGUAAUCUUCACUUUCUUCCUUCUGAUUCUCUAACAGCUUCUCUCUCAAUUGAGAACUCAUCUCAUACAGAGACAGCCGUUGAAGAUGGAUCAAGUGCUGGAUACCCAAUGGUAACUCCUCUAGUAAUGGAAGUUGCUGCAAAAAUAGUUCCCGGAGACGUGGUAAUGCACCCUCCUCCACUCUCAUCCAUCUCAACCCUUCCAUUCUCUUUAAGUGCAUCCACUUCAGAUUUAGGAACCCUCCAGCCUUGAAACACAACCCUUCUCCCUGGUAAGAUCCGCAGAAAUUAAUUCUACCCAAAUUGGGCAAAUGUUGGAGGGAUUCAAGCGGAUCCUCCUCGACCCUUAACCUACUCCAAUUCAUAUCUAUUCUUACCAAGCCGUGAAGAUGAGCUACCCAUUGUGGCAUCUUUUCUAAGGGGCCGUACAUAAUCAGCAGACGAAGAGAUUGAAGAAACGAAGAAGAAGAAGAAAGAGAAGGGUGAUUUAGAUCGAUUAUCUCAUGAUCAUCAUCUUUACCAAUUGAAUCAACGCUUAAUUCCCGAAGACUGGUGAGAUUGGCAAGGGAGGAGCAGAGCUCUUUUCCAUCUUCUCUUCUUAACUUUGUAAUACCUAAUUCUCUUAAUUGGGUCAACUUUCCUAUCUCCUUGAUUAUUGUGGAUCCACUACUUGCAUCUAUGCUGUCUAAUACUUCUAAGGCAAGAAGCCCUCCCAUAUUUGAGGGAGCUUUAAAUCCAUGAUAUCCAUAAUCAUCAUCGGAAGAAUCAACUUGUUGAUAUACUCUGAGAACCCGAAGUUUUUGCAGCUUCAGGAUUUCCACAGGUAGUUCCCUAACUCUGGUGUUACCCAAAUCCAGAAACUCCAAAUGUUGAAGCUUUCCAAUGGCUUUCGGGACUCUCUCCACUCUUGUAUCGCAUAGGUCCAGAUGCUUGAGAUGAAACAUCUUGAAAAUCUCAUUUGGUAUUUCCUCUUGUGUCUCUUGACCAUCCAAAUCCAAAACCUUUAACAGCUUACUACUCCUUGAAAUUUCAGAUAACAACGUUUUGGAUAGUAGCGGGUCGGUGGAUCCAACUGUAACGAACGACCGAAGGUGGUCAAAGCAAUAAAUUCGUCUUUGGUGGUGGUGCUGGGUGUUGUUACUGCUACUACUACUAUGGACUGCUAGACGGCGUACCUUCUCGGACGGCCACGUCAUUGGUUGUCCAGUAGUGGCUGUGACCAUGUUUUGUUCCCUUGACUUGAGAAGAAUAACUUCUCUCAAUAGGUCAUGGAUUCGACAUCUUUGGGGUAUUCCUUCAUAAAACACCUUAGACACUUGAAUUAGACUUCUAUUGACGAGUUCACUGAGAUAAUUCCAGGCUACAUCUUCAAUACUCAUUCCUUCUCUCCCUUCUACAAACCUUUCAGCAAUCCACAAAUUAACUAGUCUAUAGCAGUCUAUUUUGUGAUCCUCUGGGUAGAUGCUUGUGUACAACAGACAUGCCUUUAGAUGCCAAGGCAAAUCAUUAUAACUAAGAAAAAGUAUCCUUUUAACUCUGUCUAACUUACCAGUGCCUUCUAAUUCACCCCCAAGACUGCGUCGAACCAUCUCCCAUUCCUCUGUUCUGUUUACAUCUUUCAAAGCCAAAAGCCCACUGAUUGCAAGAAUCGCAAGGGGCAAGCCCUCACAUUUACCCAGUAUAACUUUGGCAACAUCCAUCAAAUGGCCAGGGCAACUAUUUCCCUUAAAGAUCUUGUUACAAAACAGGAUCCACGAAUCUUCAAAGGACAGUGGCUCCAUUCUGUAGAUAUAACCUAGAGAUUCUGUACAAGAGGCAGAGGCUACAUCAGCUUUCCGAGUUGUUAGCAUGACACGGUUGCCGUGGCUACUCUCGGGCAGCGCAAACUUGAUGGUAUUCCAAAAUUCCACGUCCCAUACAUCAUCAAAAACAAUCGCAUACCUUUCAGCUUGUUGAAGAAAAUAUUUGAUAAUUUCUUUCAGCUCGGUGGUAGUCAUGGAGUCGAUCAAUUGUGGGACUGGUUUCUUCCCGUCCUUGUGUAACUGCAGAAUCAAGUCUUUCAGGAGGUACUGAAAGUCACAUGUUUGAGAGACAGUUACCCAAGCACGGACUGGGAAAUGCCUUCUGACUUCAGGAUCCUCAUGGACUUUUUUCACUAGGGUAGUUUUGCCAAGUCCUCCCAUACCAACCACUGAAACAACUUUUAGUUGGUAAUCAUCCCCUUGGAGGAGCUGAGAAAUUAGAUGUUUCUUGGGCUGGUCAAUGCCAACUAAUUUAGCUUCUUCCACAAGCAGCGCAUCAUCUCUGCUAUAGCGCCAUGUUGUGUUGUUCACAGCAGAAAGUGAGUUGGACGCUUGGGCAGAGAUACCAUAUUCAGAUUGGUAUCUUUGAUGAGCUUCGGAAAUACUUUUUAUUCUGGACUUGAUGCCUUGUAUUUCGCUAGCAACUCGAUGACGAGCUCUCAAAUUCUUGAUGGAGCUGAAAAUUCUCCGAACAGAGCCGUAGAAUCCUGUUGCGGGAUGCCGAGCAAAGCGAGCUACAAAUUCAUCAAGAAUGUCUUCAGUGUCAUAAGCAGCAUCUCGCACUUGCUUGAUCCAUUGUUGGAGAGUGGGUUGAGCAUCUUCUUCUUUUGCUUCUGCCUCUCGCAGGAAAGCUCUCAUUUGCUCCAACUCAUCCAUGAUGAAUUGAACCUCUUGCUGAAGCCCCCCCAAUAGUCGUCCCUCCUCGCGCAGAAAAGUUGAGAGUUGUCGCAGCACAAAAGAGAGAACUGUUUCUGCCAUUUUCAGUGUUUCUUUCUAACUUAAGAAUGUUGGGGAAGGCGGCUUCUGGUUUAUAGGACAGUCCACUUGCAGUGUCUUGAAAGGAAGAAAGAAGGGUAGGCUAUAGAUUCAUAAGCUGAUGAACUUUGAAACUAUAUGAUGCAGUAUAUAUCAAAAAGAAAAACCGCGUCAAAAAGAAAAAGAAAGAAUUAACAAAUUAGAAGAAACUAAAGCAAGAAACAUGAUGGAAAUUGAAGACAAGAAGAUAGGCAGCAACGUUAGUUUGAAAGACGAAGCUGCCUCUUACCUGCUUACUAUACAAAAUCAUGGAAGCUAUUAAGAAGACUGUGCAAAUGGUGGGGUGAUCAGCCUUCAGGACCUUCUUUCAACUGUGGGUCCUUUGGUCGGAUAAAGAUAAAAGGAGUGACUACCGCAGCAUCGUGCAAAAGCAAUGAUGUCGAAUUAUUUAACAAGGGAAGGAAUAAAGUUAAAACGCGGUUGGACUGGACAUUAUUUAUUUCAUUGACGAAGAAAUAAAACUACCACUGCAAAGUCUUUGCACCUCCUCCUCCUAUGGAACUAAUUUCUGCAUUUUUUUUAGCCCCUUGGACCAACUAGUAUUUUUGUAAUAAAAACGGAUGGAAUAUCAAAGAAACCUUGGGAACAAAUCUCUGACCAAAUUUUCGGUAUAGACAUGCAUGUGCGUUUAAGUAGUUAAAGAGGAAAGAGCACGAGAAUGAGAAUGAGAAUCUAUUUAAUGGUGUGCUUGAUAAAAUUGAAGUUUAAAAUCUGAAUUCAUUAAUUUAUUGAAUUGUUAAUCUAAUAUAUUUGAAUGCAUAUCACGUUCAGUGAUAAGUGAAUAGCAUAUCACUUAAUUUUGGGAGUAAAUUUUAUUUAAAAAUUCAGUAUCACUUAAUAUAUAUAUAUAUAUAUAUAUAUAUGUAUCUGUAUGUAUAUGUAUGUAUGUAUAUAUGUAGGUAGAUGAUAGACAUUUGCAUAGGCUUAUUUGGUACCUAAUCUAGAGCGAUAUCCGCAAAGCCAACGAGGCAACCGCAAAAUUAAAAAAAAAUAAAAAUAAAACGCCAAGUGAUCGUUAACCAUGGCAUUCCAAAAGAAAAGGAAAACAACAAAUUAAAGAGGAGAAUCAUCGAGGACAUUGAAAAUUAAAACCCAAUAAAUUAACUUUCUUAUGUUGAAAUAAUGAUCAAGUGAAAGGCAUCACAACUCCAAAACAUGAGUUCAAUGUUAUUUUUUGUUAAUAACAGCUCAUAUAAGUGUGAAACCUGUGGAAGAUAGAAGCAUAAAUCAGCAUAUCGACAAUGUUUUAAAAACCGGACCGUUAAUCGAACCGGUGAAGUGAAAGGGUCGAGGUUCAACCGAUCGGACCGGUUCAACCUCGGUUCAAUGAAUUUUUUAAAAAAUAAUUUAUAUAAAUAUAUAUGUGCACAAAAUAAGACAUGUAAUGGAUAAUUUAAUACUUUAUAUGAUGAAAAGUUUACUAUUUUUGAAUAACUUGGAUUUUUAAAAAUAAAUUUUUUAAAUUAUAAGUCAAAACAAAUAAAUUUCAUCUCAAUUUUAAUUAUAUCUACCAAAAAAAUCUUAAAUAUAAUCCAAAAAUAUCACAAUAUUUGAAAUUAUACAAAAUUCACGUCUAUGAGAAUUUAGACAUUGUGAACUUAAAUUUUAAUUUACAUUUUGGAAUUUAAAUUUACAAUUUAAAAAAGGAAGUUUGGAGUUCGAAAAAAAUCAAGAGAAUUGAAAAUAGAAAUGCAAAUUUGAUAAGAAACAAGAAAUGAGAUAAAAGUGAGUGGUUGUGGUAUUAAAUAAAUUGGGUUAAAGAAAAAUAAUUCUUUUUUAACUUUUUUAAAUUUAAUGGACAAAAACAAAAUUAAAAUAUGGAAGAAAACAUCAAUAAAUUAAAAAUAAAGAGGUUUGAUUAUAAAAUGAGUGGCAAAAGAAAAGAUGAUAGAGAGAGAGAGAGAGGGUGUGUGUGUGUGUGUGUGUGUGUGUGUUGAAGAUUAAAAAGAAAGAGUCAUGAAAAGAUGAUAUUUUGUAAAAAAAAUGGAACAAAAGAAAUAUGAGUGUUUGUUUUAUAUAAAUAAGUUAUCAAAAGAAACCAAUAAGAUGUGAUAGUGCAAUGGUUACUACAUUGGUCUUCUAAUACAAAGGUCUUGAGUUCGAAUCUUGAUAACUACAUUUUGCAAAAAAAAAAAAAAAAAAAAAAAAAGGAAAACUCAAAAACCGGAAAUAACCGGUUCACAUCCGGUUCAGCGGUUUCGCGGUCCAACCGGUUUUUGACCGGUUUCUUGACAAGUCAAACCUGGCAUUGAACCGGACCGGAGCCAUGGCCGGUUCGCGGUUCAACCGGUCGAACCGGCCGGUCCGGUCCGGUUUUCAAAACACUGCUCAAAUAUCGAGAAGAAAAACUUAGGAUCCAUGAGCUACUAAUAACUUGGCCCAGGUAUUUUAAACCAGUAAUUUAACAGACUUCGAAAGUUUUAUUGAGCUGGAUAGGACGAAAGGCGGCUCUUUUUACCAAUUAGAAUCGUCCUAUGCAACAUACAUCAUCAAACAACAUAAAGAAAUUGUGUAUUUUAAUUCAUAAAAAUGUAGCCAACCACCACUGCCCUUACUAUUACUCUCGACCUUAUAUUUUCAGUUUUGUUGAAGAUGAGAUAAAAUUCAUUCUAUAUUUACCUCUUUUUAUUACUCUUGACCUUAUAUUUUCAACUUUACUAAAGAAGUAAAGAUAGGACAAAUUUAAUUCUAUAUUGCCUUUUUUGAUUAAAAAGGACCAGAUCAAAUAAUAAGCAACUCAAGUAAAAAAAUUUACUUAUGCUAUUCUAUUCUUCAAUCCUUUCAAAAUUAUUACCUUGUGAAAUAAUGCAAUUUUAUUUUUUUAAAGAUAAUUUGAUGGAUGGAUAAUUAUUACUUUUGGUUCUGUUAGUUAUUCAAAAAGGAGAAAAGAGGUAAACAAUAAUGUUUGAACUCGGAGGAAACUGGAAUGAUCUCCAGUUGUUCUCUUCGUUUGCUGUUCCUAGCUUUGAAGUGUACAGUUUUACUUGUAGGAAACUGGAAAGCUUUUCUUUUUUCUUUUUGUUUUUUCCCCUGGUUUUGUAGACAAAGUUGGAUGUGAAGAAAGAAGUGGGAAUGAAAAUAUUGGAGAUGGCUAAAUUAUUUUUUAAUGCUCAGCAUAAGGCAAUUAAGGUAAACCCUUAACCACGCAGCCAAAUCCGAUCACCACCAUCUUCUGAUGUCUAAUUUUUCUUUUAGUUUAUUAUUGUAAUGUGUAAAGAAAAAAAGUUAGAUAUACUCGACAAAGUCAAAUCAUAAUUUUGCGUUUCUUAUGUUUCUUCUUUCUUCUUUCUAAAAUGAAUGACUUUGGAUCACCAAUGUAAUCUUUCAUCUCAGUUCUUUUUCUCCAGCUGUGAAAUUAUUACAACUAAGACUAGAUUAGGAAUAAGGGACAAGAAGUGGCUCUUUUGACCAAUUAGAAUUAAAUUAUGCAUUAUACAUGGUCAAACAGCAUGAAGAAAAUUAUGCAUGCUAUAUAGUAUAUAUUAUACUCGACCUUUAAUUGCCAAUAAUAUUGAAGUUGGCAUAUGUUUCAUUCUAUAAUUUUCUCUUCAAUUUUUUCUUUUGAAGUUUGUCUUUUUUUUUCGUUGAUUAUAUUCACCUUUUAUCAUCGAAUUGAAUUUUCAACGUUCCGAGGUUUUCUCAAAUCGCUUCGUACAAGAUGCACGAUAUUUGUUCUGAUUUACCAUAUCGUCUUAGCAUGGGAUCUUACUGUUUACCUUAUUGUAAUGAUAAAUGGUUAAAAUGGAACCAGAUGGGAGCAUAGUUAGCGGAAGCCCGAGCUUGGAAUCUGUCCUUUUGCAGUUUUACUUGUGCAAGAAUAAUUAAUUUAUUGGAAAAUUUUGCUACAUAUCUGCAAGGACUAAACAAAUAUUGGCCAUAUAAGUUAGUGAGAAUGUAUCCUUGUAAAGCAGAUUUUUUAUAUAGGGAUAUUGUUAUGAAGAAGAGAAAUUUGAGACAUAUAUGUAGUUAGAUUUGUUGUUCCUGAAUUUAACGGGUCAUAGGCUAUAAAAGUAUUAGAGUUCGAUUUUUUUUCCCCAAAUCCUAAUACGAAGCCCCUACUUGAGCUAAUGAAUUGAAAUUCACUAUUAAAAUUGACUAUUGUAGAGUCAUAAUUUGGACUCAAGUGUGACAAGGUGCAUUACUCGAGCUACUUGAGUGCUGUAUUUUGGAAAAGCAAUUUCGAAAGCAAAAGAAGAAGCAAAGGCACAAAUUUUUCAUAGUGAUCAUAACACUAGUUCCUAGAAACAGCAUAAGAAAGGUGACAGAAACACAUUAUCGACAUUAUAAAAGUCUGUCAUUAUUUAUCAUUUUUAUAUAGUAACUUGCUAUAGAAGAAUUGUCAAAGCCGCGUGAGAAAAUUAAGAACGAAAUACGAGAAAAAUUCUUACUCGUCACAACGAAACUGCAGCCAAAAAAAAGAAAAAAAAAAGGAGUGGAGCCAUUAAAGUCAGUCAAAGAGAAAAAGAAAGAUGUAACUAAUUAAUUACAAGAAACUAAAGCAUGAGAGAUGAUGGAAAUUGAAUAGAAAGACGAUAGACAGCAACGGGAUUUUGAAAGGCGAAGCUACCUUACCCGCAGCACUACAAAAUCAUGGAAAUUAUUAAGGAGACUAUGCGCAGUUGGUGGGGCGUAUGCGUUCACUCUUCAGUCUUCAGGAGGCUACCAGCGUACAACACCAUCUUUCAAAAGCAACGCUGUCUAAACCUGAAACCUGGUGGCCUGGACAAUGACUUCAUUGAUGAAUAAACAAAAGGAAAAUGAGUUCUAUAUUGAUGAACUGGGUACUUCAACUAGUUUUAAUUGAAAAAUUUUUCAAAUUUUUACUAGUUAAUUAGUUAGCAUAUGAAUUAUUAGUUCUUAAUUUUGUUGUUUAAAGUUAACUACUAACUAUGUUGUUUCUUUAUUUUGAAAUGUAAUUUAAUGGUCACAUAACUAGAUGUGACAAAAUUAUGUCAAUAAUUAGGGAAAAUUCUUCAAAUGUCCUAAAUCUACUUUAAAAUUAAUGGAUACAUUGAGGAUCAGAUUUGCUCUUGCAAAAACUUUAGGAACAAAAACUAAACAUGGGAUAAAGAUUGACGACCAAAAUUGCAUUUACCAAACCUUUAAGGACUAAACCUUCACAUGAGAUAAAAAUUAGGGACCAAAAUUGCAUUUUUGCCAGAAAUAAAACUACUAUACUCCUCUUGCCGACACCAACUGUUUUCAGUUUUUAGCUUUAUUCGUAUUGUUUUUGCCCCUUGCACCGAUUAGUAUUUGUACUGGAAACGGAUGGAAUGUUAAGCAACCUUAGGAAGAAACAAAUUCCAGUACAAUAUCUGACCAAAUUUUCGGCAUGAACAUAAUGUGUGUUUAGGUAAGAAUGAGGAAAGAUCAUGAGAGAACAAGAAUCUACCACUGUCAAUAAAGAAAAACCCAACUCAAAAUGAAUUAUUCUAUCAAAGUUACAGGAGAGUAGGGGUGCAGCUGAGUUUUGAGCAUUUUGUGGGUUAAAGUUGGUUUUAAAUUUUUCUCCUUUCGCGUCAGUUGAAGAAUGGACGACUGAGAAAAGUGAGAUUUCAAUUUCUGUUAAACUCGGGCAGUCGGGGAUUGAUUAAAGAAGACAAUAGCAUUUAGACAUUAAUGUUGGUAGUGAUCACAAGAGAGUAAGUGUUGGUAGUGCUACUAUUGAUGGACUAAGCCAUGGGCGAGUUAAGAACAGAAAAUUAUACGUGAAAUUUUUAGAAAUCCACCUAGAAAUAUGUUGGCACAGCGUUUUUUUUUUCCACCUAAGCUUUUUACCACUAUUUGUAAACCUUGAAUUCCAUAAUAAUGCAGUUACUUUAGCCUAAGCUUUAAGUACCCCCUACUCUUAUUUUAGGGUAAAUUAAACAUAAUGGUUUCACUCAUUGUCAUAUAACCCUAAUAACAUUACAAGUAUCUAUUUCACUCUCUUAGGUUCAAUGUAAACUUUACGAAAAAUAACCUCUGUAAAAUUGCCCUGUAUUUUUUUCUUCUAGUAAAACCCUUCUUCUCACAUUGUGUGCAAUUGAUUUCUAGUCAUUAUCAAAUUCUAUCAAUCACAAAAUUGCGCCAUUAGAUAUAUCAAUUGAUGUUAUUUAGUAAUUACAAGUAAUCGUUCAUCAUUAAAGAAAUUUUUAACAGUUUUUUGUGUUAAUUAGUCACUAAUAGUUAAUUAGUGCUCUAACUAUUUAACCGUUAGAUACUAGUAAAGGAGAAAAGAGGGAAAAGAAAGACAAAAUUCGAAAAUUAGUUUGUUCAAAAUCACAAGAAUCACAACAAACAUCAUGUUAAAAGAGAUGGCUAUUCUAUUUUAUUGAAUCUUGUCAUCAUUAGUGUAGUUUUAUUGUUUAUGUGUUAUCUAAUUUAUUGAUUGUGAAUUUUUUGAAUGGUGAAAUAUGUGUAUUAAUUGUUUCUAACUUUUAAUUAUGUUUAGUCUUUUACUAAUGCAAUUUAUAUACAUGCAUAAAGGGUAUUUAUGGAAUAUAUGUUUCAUCUCUCUCCUUAAAGUACUUUUUUAAUGUUACUUUUUCUAAUUAGAUUAAUUUUGUUAACAAAACCUUAACCUCAGAGGAGGUUUGGGUAAUUUUGUAAACCUUAGGGGAGUCUAGUGAAACUAUCAAAAAUUUCAGGCAAGGUUUCUGAAAUUAUCCCUUGAUUUUGACCUUUUAUUAUUGACCGUUAGUUUUAACGAAAAAAUUAAAGGUGACACUUCAAUCCAAAGUUAUUAUAUAUAAGUUUUUAAAUCAUAAGGAAUUAAGUGGUAAAAUACCAAAUCACAGGAGGUAAAAGGUAGAUUGCCCAACUUAAUAUUAGCUAGCCCUUACAUUGCUCAAGCAAAUGGGUCAGAGAUUGUUCUCGAUUGCCAACGUACAUAUACAUAGGUCAUCUGCAUUUUUGUUCCUAAUUGCCAGCAUAAACCACAUCUUUUGAUUUUCCAAUAAAUGCUGUAAAAAAAAAGUAAUGAGUCCUUCUAUACUACAGUCCUUCUACUCUACUAGAAGAUGAUUGAUUGUUCACCUACAUUUUGUCAAGUUUAAAAAAAGAAAAUCUUUAUAGUGAAUCGAAUCGAAUUCAAAUUUUGUGUUUUGUGAUAAUUCCUAUCAAAGAAUGAAAUGCAAAUUUUUAGUGUAAAAUUAUUUUAAGAAACAAUGAUACACAUUGUAGGUUUAUUAGCACAAAGUAAUUCUUACCAGUCAAUGAUGAAUGAUGUCAUAUCAUUUGCAAUGUGAAUUGAAACAUUGGCAAAUUGGUGAAGGAAAGAGCCGAUUGAAGGAUAUCUAUCACGUAAAAGGGGUCAUAUAAUAAAGGGUUAAUUUUAGAAACCUCCCCUGAGGUUUUUUGUAAUAACACCCAGCACCCCCAACUUUCAGAAAUCACACUUACCACCCUUAGAAUGAUAACUUUCAUCACAUUGUCAGCCCUUUUGUGUAAGAAUUGUAUUUAAAAAUUGUUUAUAGGAGAGAGACUAUUUUUCUAUUCCACUUUUGCCCUAUUGGAAGAUGAGUUUUGAAUUUACAAGAUAAAAAUAAAAACAAAACUAUGUUGUGAUAUUAUUUUAGAAGCUAAAGGGGUGUAAGUUUAAUAAGCACAAGAAGCUUCUUAACAUUGAUACUAUAAAGGACCGUUGGGCAAAACCAUUCCAACCUGUCUGAUGCUUAAGCUGUAUUAAACAGAUUGGAAACAAGAUAACAAUAUCAUUCACCAUCGAUUUUCUUUGGGCAAAUUGCAGCAACUAGUGCAUCAAUCUAACACUGAUUGCUAUCUACAUUUUUAUUCAGAUUACAAAGUCAAUUUGAUGAAGUCCAAGUACAACAUGCAAUGCUGUAAUUGAUUACCAACUGUUUUAGCCUUCAUAGUCAUAGGCAAUUCAAAGUAGAAAGCUGAGGAAGUUGAGCCUGUUUUGUAUGGUACUUGUGACAAUCCAAUCAGAUGUGUACUUGACACGGUCACAUGUUUAGCUAAGUCUAAGCCAAACUAAGAUUCCAAAAAAUGUGCUACUAUUCAUAUCUGUUCGUACAACUAGUGCAUCAACGUAUCUUUCCAAGCAACUAGUGCAUCAAUGCGUUGCUAUAUAUUAUAAGAUUAGUAUAUGGCAAUGCAUAUUCCACCAGAUGAAAUACACAAAAAAUACAAUAAGUCUUCUAUCAUACAUUUUGAUAAUAAAGAGUACUUGUACCACUUCAAAAACCAAGAGUAAGGAUUGCAGGGAGCCUUUAGCAUCUUUAAACACUCGGAAAUGCCCUGAUUCAGUGUGAAACAACCACUGGCUUGAAACAAUCAGUUUACACGGGGUGAUCUAUGAGAUACAAUCAGUUUACAAAAAUAUACGUUAUGUUAGAUGUUAGUUACUUGACUGUGUAUAUCUAUAAAAGGUAGUGUAAUGGUACGCAUAAAUUUGGAAUGAUUAUUUUGCCCUUUGAUCAAUUUGUGCAUCUCCCUAUAGUAGAAGUGUAAUUUUACUUGUAUGAGUAGUCCUUGCUUGUCUGUGAGUACUUUACAUGGGGUGAUCUAUGAGGUACAAUCAGUUUACAAAAGUAUACAUCAUGUUAGAUGUUAGUUACUUGACUAUGUAUACAUAUAAAAGGGACCAAAUUUGUUCUGAUAAUCAUGAAAUAUUAGCUAACUUGUGGGAGCUAGAUAAUUACAUGCUCAAUUUUGAAGUUGUUACAUCGCAGGGUGCUCUAAGGAGAGGAGAGCCUGGUAGAGGCAUAGCUAACACGGGAUUUUUAUUUUUGGUAGAGGCAUAGCCUCAAUUUUUUAAAUUUUUGCAGCAUUUUCCUGCACAAGAAUCACUUAAUAAUAGGGGGUAGCAUCGUAAUUUCUCCUCUACUGAUUGGUACAACAUGUCACGUCAUUCUGCCAAGGGUGGUAAGUGUGAUUUUUCAAAGUUAAGGGGUGCUAGGUGUGAUUAGGGGAAACCUCAGGGGAGGUUUCUGAAAUUAACCCUAUAAUAAACUUAGUGUACUAUAUUUACCAGACAAGCGGUAUUAAUGUAGGUUUGUACAAGCCGUAUUAACAUAUUUUAUUUGACCAAAAUUUAAAAGCUAUUAUUUGGAGUUUGAAUGAAAAUUUUCUGCUAGAUAUAAUUAAUACACUUUUAACCUGCCUACCUCUUGAUCGUUUGCUAAAUUAAUUAUAGGAAAGAUCAUCAAGAAACAAAAAGAUAAAAAGUAACUGUAUACAGUACAUUAACAACAUCAUCACGCAUUAUAAACGAUACAUGCCAUAAACAAGAAGGUAAGACACAGCAAAUGAUGAACUUCUCUCAUGGAUGUCGAAGGGAAAAAAACCAAGAAAAAAAUAAAAACAAAAGAAGAGGAAGCAGUAGUGUUGUCCACAACAGGGAGGGUAUAAACUAGAGAAAGGGAAGCCACGGCGGCAGCUGUUGCUAGGAAUGAUUAUGUUUUCUUCUUCUUCUUCUCCCAUAGCUGGUGCUCUCUCCAUUUCCUAUCAUCUGUAUAGUAACCAAUGAGAAUUUCAGGAAUGUGUGCGAUUCUUGUGUAAUCUUCACUUUCUUCCUUCUGAUUCUCUAACAGCUCCUCUCUCAAUUGAGAACUCAUCUCAUACAAAGUUAGCUCUUGAAGUUGGCUCAAGUGCUGAAUACCCACAGGUAACUCCUCUAGUAAUGGAAGUUGUUGCAGAAAUAGUUUUUGGAGACGAGGCAAUGCACCCUCCUCCACUCUCAUCCAUCUCAACCCUUCCAUUCUCUUUAAGUGCAACUCCUUCAGCUUUAGGAACCCUCCAGCUUUGAAG